rnacentral:rRNA from 1 species
AUGGCGGCGGCGGCUAAACCUAGCGGCGGCGGCGGCGGCGAGUCAGCAGGCGGCGGAGGGACUGGAGGCGAUGGUGAUGGGUUCUCGGAGGUGGACAACUGGUUCGGAAGCAGUAGCUUGCCGACGCAGCGGGCUCCUUCAUCGGAGCGAUCCCCUUCGCCCCCCUCGCCACCGGAGUGGGACAUUGAGCGUCGUGCGGCGGCUGCCCUAGCACGCAAGAUCAGGGCUUCAGGCGUUGGAGAAGGCCAUCAGUGGGCUUCAGGGUUCGGUGGCGUGUGUUUGGAUGAUGAGAUAUGGGAAAUAAGGUACCAUUUUCAAGGGAGAGACAACUUGGAGAGGACCAUUUCUUUGUCAGAAAUUACUUUUAUGAACAUGUUAGCACUGCUAGAGACUGAAGAGGGACAUACUGAAGCUGACUACAUGUUCUAUAUGAAAGAAGAAGGAAAGGGGGCAGCAGGAAUGCAAGUUAUUGACAGUGAAGAUAGUGUGGAAGAGAUGCUAGACUAUUAUGCUGAGAAGAAGGUUCUCAACAUAACUGUAAUUAAGGCUAAUGAGCCUAAUCCAGGAGAGUUUUAUAGGUCAAAUAUUGUGGAGGAACAAGUGCCUAUAAGUAAUGUGGGGGAUUCCAACAUUAUUUCUAUAGAUGAGGCAGGAGUAUUGUUCCCUAUUGAUGUUGAAGACACAAUUGAAGAGUUGUAUGCUGUGCCUAUUGCUGUUGUAGAGCCAGGUCAAGAGUCUGCAUAUAUUAACACACAACAGAGCAUGAAUUUGAAGAAAGCAAAGGGCAAAGAGAAAGUACAGGAAGAUGUUGGCCCCUCUGAUGAUGAAGUGUUUGUUGAUUUGAACUACUGUGAGGAGGAAGAUGAAAUCAUUGAGGAGGAAGAGCAUGACAUAGGUAAUGAGGAGGAAGAUGAAAUCAUUGAGAAGCUGAAGCAGAAAAGGAAACAAAGAGAGGAUCCUAUGCAUCACUUUGAAGGAGACACAGAAGUGAAAGAGAUGUGUCCAGAGGCAGAGGACUCAGACACAGAACCUGAGACACCUCUUCCUCAAACAUUCAAGAAAGUAGGCAAAGCAGGCCCCACUACAAGAUCACACCAUGAAGCUGACAUUGAGGUAAUUCCUAAUUUCAUUCCAUCUGAUGAUUCUGCUUGUUUCCCUGGGGACUAUGGCAUUAGUGAUUCAGAUGAUGAGUCAGGUCUACCACUCCCUUGUGGAAGGAAGAGUCAAGCCAAGAGGGCCAGGACUAGGAUCUGAAAGGGACAAUGGGUGUCCUUUUUCAUGACUGCAUCCACAAUUGCUCAUGAGAAGACAUUCUGCAUCAAGAAGAUGCAGUUGUUGCACACUUGUGGUGCUCAUGGAGAAAAAACCAAAGUGACAGUUGACUGGAUGGCCAGAACAUGUGAGCAGCAACUGAGAGAUAAUCCAAGGGCUGGUGUUGAUGCAAUUUUAAAAAGAACAAAGACUAAGUAUGGGCUGGAAGUGCCAAAGACCAAGGCCUACAGGGCAAGGUCAUUGGCCAUUGAAGUGGUGGAAGGUGACAUGAAGGGACAAUACACAAGGUUUAGGGAUUAUCUUCAAGCUGUGCUUGAUACCAACCCUGGGAGCAGAUGCAUUGUGACUACCAGAGAGCUUGAGCUCCAUCCUAGCCCAAAUCCUAGGUUCCACUACAUGUUCUACUGUCUGAAUGCUUCAAAAGAAGGUUUAGAUGGUUGCUUUAUCAAGCUUUCUACUGGGCAACAGAUACUUGCAGCCACUGGUAGGGAUGGGAAUAACAACAUAUUCCCUAUUGCAAUUGCUGGCUUCAGAAGUGAGGAGUUGAAGAAGCAUAUGGACAAUGCUGCAUAUUCAUACACCAAGAAUGAUUUUGAGGUUGCAAUGAAUGAACUAAGAAAGGAUGAUAAAGAUGCUUGGAAGUGGCUUUGUGAUAUCCCUAAAGAGACUUGGGCAAGGCUUGGUAUGGAUCACACAUGCAAGACAGACCUAGUAGUCAACAAUCUUAGUGAAGUAUUUAACAAGAUGAUACUAGAUGUGAGGAACAAGCCAAUAAGGAGCUGUGUAGAUGGAUUCAGAACUAAGUUGAUGGUUAAGUACCAAGCAGUUAGAGAGAAGACAAAGAAGAGUCCUGUUAUUUGGCAAGUCACUAGUGGGGAGUCUACCUACUGUGUGAACCUUGAUAAGUGGACCUGUGACUGCAAGAAAUGGGACCUAUGUGGUUGGCCAUGUAACCAUGCAGUUUCUGCCAUUACAAGAGUGAAGGGACAGCCAGAAGACUAUGUGCAUGAGUUCUUCAAAAAACCAUUGUAUAAGGAAACAUACAAGCACAUCAUCUACCCUGUACCAGGGCCUGACUGUUGGCCUAGGACACCAACUGUUGACAUAGAUCCACCAGUGUUCAAAGAGAAGAAGGGCAGGAAGCAAACAGCUAGGAGGAAGGGGCAAUUUGAGGUCCCAACAAAGAAGGAUACAUCAAGGAUGUCAACUAUCACCUGCAGCAACUGCAAUAUGCAGAAACAUAGGUACACCUACUGCCCUCAGCCUCUGAAGCCUCAUCUUCAGGCAAGAAAGGACAAGCACAAGACAACCAAAACUCACUACCAUGGAGCUGGGGGAAGUUCUACUGCUACUGCACAGCCUGCAACCAGUGCACCACCUGCUGCAUCUACUAGGGUUAAAGAACAACUGCUAUUGGUCAUUCCCAGCCUGCUACAUCUACCAGGGGAAGAAAAUCAACUGCUACUGGUCAUUCCCAGCCUGCUACAUCUACCAGGGGAAGAAAAUCAACUGCUACUGGUCAUUCCCAGCCUGCUACAUCUACUAGGGGAAGAAAAUCAACUGCUUCUUCUACUGGCUGCCACAAGAGCUUCAGGUUCAAGCAAUGCAGCCAGCAGGAGAGGUGGAAGGCCCUACAUGGCACCUAGGGCUGCAACUACAAUAGAGGGAGCAAUAGUAGGGUCUAAAAGGAAGAGGUUCCAGAGCACCAGGAUGAGGGGUUACUUUUAUGCCAGUGGCAACUAG